GAAUAUUGGUCAAUGGGCGCAAGCCUGAACCAGCCAUGCCGCGUGCAGGAAGAAGGUCCUAUGGAUUGUAAACCGCUUUUAUUUGGGAAUAAACCUCUUUACGUGUAGAGAGCUGAAGGUACCAAAUGAAUAAGCACCGGCUAACUCCGUGCCAGCAGCCGCGGUAAUACGGAGGGUGCAAGCGUUAUCCGGAAUCAUUGGGUUUAAAGGGUCCGCAGGCGGACUUAUAAGUCAGUGGUGAAAUCCUACAGCUUAACUGUAGAACUGCCAUUGAUACUGUAAGUCUUGAAUUCGGUCGAAGUGGGCGGAAUGUGACAUGUAGCGGUGAAAUGCUUAGAUAUGUCACAGAACACCGAUAGCGAAGGCAGCUCACUAGGCCUGGAUUGACGCUCAGGGACGAAAGCGUGGGGAGCAAACAGG
rnacentral:rRNA from 1 species